AUUGAACGCUGGCGGCAUGCCUUACACAUGCAAGUCGAACGGCAGCACGGGGCAACCUGGUGGCGAGUGGCGAACGGGUGAGUAAUGCAUCGGAACGUGCCAUUGAGUGGGGGAUAACGUAGCGAAAGUUGCGCUAAUACCGCAUAUUCUGUGAGCAGGAAAGCAGGGGACCGCAAGGCCUUGCGCUCUUUGAGCGGCCGAUGUCAGAUUAGCUAGUUGGUGGAGGUAACGGCUUACCAAGGCGACGAUCUGUAGCGGGUCUGAGAGGAUGAUCCGCCACACUGGAACUGAGACACGGUCCAGACUCCUACGGGAGGCAGCAGUGGGGAAUUUUGGACAAUGGGCGCAAGCCUGAUCCAGCCAUGCCGCGUGUGUGAAGAAGGCCUGCGGGUUGUAAAGCACUUUCAGUGGGGGAAGAACGGAUACGGGCCAAUACCCGCAUCACUGACGUUACCCACAGAAGAAGCACCGGCU
rnacentral:rRNA from 1 species